CGGCAGCGGUGGGAUUCGCAAAGUGAAAUCUCGAGAAGUAGUGUUCGCAAGUUUAGACGGUGGGGCGAUUUUUUGGAUAUAUUCUUGGUUAAGAAAGAAAUACGCUAUCUUGAUAUCAAAGGAGACAUCCGACCAAUACCCUCAUUACUAAGAGCUUGGAAUCACACGAAACAGCAGCUCGAUUGCCUAUCGAUAGACCAAAUACAUCUAAAAAAAAUCGAUAUACUCUAAUGACUGAGUGGCAGUCAAGUUUUUGAACAAAGAUCAAUCAUGUGUAACCUGUUCACCGUGUAGAGCUACGACUGCACAAGACUUUCAAAUCAUUCAACAUUUCGAAACGGCCGAUGCGAAUUGGUUUGAAAAUUGUUUUUUGUGUUAUUUCCGGGAAAUAUGUAAGCUAGAGCUUUGUUCAACGUUUCGAAGACAGACGGACAAACAGAUUAACCCAAAUAAACCUCGUUCAUCUAAUUAUACGGCCGUUUGGCAACAAGUUAUAUGGGGAGUCUCGCAUAUUUAGGUAACUGUGAGUUAAUGUGAAUGAUGUUUGAGGAAAUUUUCAAUAUUCGUUUAUAUUUAUUUCCCUUACAUAUAGAGUAAGUAUUUUUCUAAUUUCUUGGUAGGUAACAUGAACUUUCUUAU